AGAGGAUCUGACGGUGCUGCAGUCCACGUCUGAGAGCUGAGAACCAGAAGAGUGUUCAUGCUACACUUGGAGUCUGAAGUAAUAGCACCUCAGUUUUCUUGGAAAGAGCCACCUUUCCCCCCUUAAUCCAUCUGGCUGAGGUGAUAUGGAGUCAUUUCCUGGAUUUGGGGCAUCAGAAGAUCGUGAUGGAGAUUCAACAAUGGGAACACAUCCUCAUCCCAGCCAGGUGGACUCAAUCUUAGAACUUUGACGGGGACUUUUGCGAAGAGUUACCAUUCAUCUUCCAGCUAUGUGUAGAGAAAGUCUGCCCGAGCUUCUAGCCAAGCUGGAGGGCAAAAGAAAAGAGAGAAACAGCAUAGACCCUGAAGACAUGGAGCCAAGCCUGAAGCAAGUUCUAUGUCUGUUUUAUUUUCGGUUCCAUGAAGCAACAAAUAUCUUUCUCCGGUUCAACCA